GCCGGAGUGGCGGAAUUGGUAGACGCGCUACGUUCAGAACGUAGUGAGCUUUACGCUCUUGGAGGUUCGAGUCCUCUCUUCGGCA
rnacentral:tRNA from 1 species